AUGCACGACAAUUGGGCCUCCUUUUGUCAAUUUGAGGAGCAGGCUUUCAUAAUGAACUGUGUGAUUAAUGAUAGUCCUCACCCUGCAGAGUUGCAUGGUUGGCAUGGUCAACAUGGCAAAGAAAGUAUAGAAGAUUUGCCAAACCAGGUAUGGGCUUGUAGAGUACAUCAGAGCGUCACAUUUCCUUUUUGA
rnacentral:rRNA from 1 species